AAGGAGGAGGUCUGAGAGACAGAGAGCAAACUAACAUUUCCUCGUUCUCUCCGUAUAUAAUAAUCCUAAGCAAAACGCAAUGCCACCAAAAAAGAUUCCUCCGUAUGCUGAGGAGGUUGACGACAUUAAACGAUCGUUAGACAUGUUGACCUGUUGUAAGACAGCAACAGAUAGCAAUUAUGAGCCUGGUGGAGGAAGUUAAAGCCCUGAGGCUAGAAAACUCCGAAAAAGAAAAGAGGAUAUUCUCGCUGGAAAAUCGGGUGGAUGAGCUGGAACAAUACACCCGAAUUAACAACAUCAUAAUCACUGGACUGGAGACGAAACCCUGCUCAUACGCUCGGGCGGCGACGAGGAUGACCGGAGGGGACACAAGCGAGGAGAAUGCUACAUCUGUGGAGCUACAGGUGACGGCCUUCCUCAACACCAAGGGAAUAGAGAUUGACAGCGACAACAUCGAGGCCUGUCACCCGCUACCACGGAGAAAUAAAACUGAUAAACCGGCAAUAAUAAUAAGGUUUGCCAACAGAAAACAUAAAACUGAACUUCUGAAACAGGGAAGAUGGCUUAAGGGCUCGGAUGUAUGAAUGAACACCUCACUAAAAGAAAUGCUGAGAUCGCCAGAAAGGCCCGAUUCCUGAGAAAACAGCAAAAAAUACAAUCAACAUGGACUGCAAACUGCAAAAUCUUCAUCAAGCUUAACGGAUCACCAGAACAAGCCAAAGUGUUAAUCAUCAGGGACCUGGAGGAACUGGAAAAAUACCAAUGAAACAAAUCAGACAAGGUAACGAAAAUAAAACACUACCAUGACAAUUCCA